UUGGAGGCUUGUGAGGAUGUGGGGGAGGAGACAGCUAGAAAGGACCAGUUUAUCUUGAUCUUAUAAAGUGACCGUAUCCUGAGACUUAUAUACUGAAUCCGACAGAAUAAGCCCAACAACUCCAGAUUCUCAGUGGCCCAGCACAACGAAGGCUGCUAGCUCACUCACACUGCAGGUCCAAGGCAGGUUGGCAGAGGGAGCCAGGCCAGCGACAGCUUCCAUGUCCACAUGGUGGUGGGAAGGGAACCAUAGCAACUGUGUGCUGGUUCUAGAAGCUUCCUCCUGAAAGUGUUACACAUCGCUCCUGCUCAUGUCUCAUUGGCCAAGGCAAAUCAUGUAGCCGCCACACCUCACUUCAAAGGGCAGUGAAGUACGAUCCUACCACGUUUCUGAUGGAAAUACCUGUGAACAGCACUAACGACUUCCACCUGUCCCAGGGGAAUGGCCAGCUUACCCAGAAAGCAGCAGCUAUUUAACCUUUUUGAGGAUCCAUGGUUUCUCUAUAAAUAUGACUGAAAAACAAGCCUUCUACACAGUGUUUUGAACAAUCUGAAGAAAAUUCAGUAAAACAAGUUAACCUCUGGCUUUGAGACUACUCAUCUAUAGAGAAAAGACCUGGAGUUCAAACUCCCAACUUUCCUACUGCUAUUUGCGAGAUUCUCUUCAAGGCCAUAAUAGCCCUUUUCAUCCAAGCCUUUCUAUAUGAAUAGGAUUGACGCACACAAAUGUCUGUCAAGAGUUUACAAAAAACCCUCAGGGGCAGUGCCAUCCAGUCUCGGUUGAAUUUGCCCUGACCUCACCCACUGGCCCACAGCUCUCCUGGUUACUCAAACUCCUGCAUCUUGGCCCAGCUCCUUGACUCCUGCUGUAUGCCCAGCUGUUGUGACGGGAGGCCUGGCCUGGCCAGGUGUUUUCAACUUCAUCUUCAGGACUCUCUACAAAGCCUGUUUUCCAAUAUCCAUUCUCAAGCCUCAUGCUCCAUGAUCGUCACUGACACACACUCUUGGGAUGAAGAGUCUGGCUCUCUUGGGCGCCCACCUCCCCUUCCCAAAUACUUGGGGGGGGGGGGAGAAGGUCAGGGAAGAACGGUUGCUUUGAAUUCAUCAUAAUAUUGUGAUUUCAUAUUAGUCUGAGUCUCGUCCCUAUGUCACUGGCCCCCAUUCAAGCCCUGUUGACAUUAGCAAGCUGAAUACUCUCACUGGGAUGUUCCAAACAAUGGAAAAACUCUUCAGAGAAACUGAUGACUGUUUUACUUUUGGCCUGAGCUGGGGGUAGAGUGGGCAUUCCAGAGAACCCAUCCAAGACACCACCUGAUCUGAUCCUUUUACUCUCUGAGUUCAAAAUGUUCUUCAAAAUGUUCCUCGCAGAGGGACCUUGCAUUUUAUAGACUGCUGCCCAAGGAACUUGUUGCUACAACAAGAACUCCCAAACCAUGGAAACUGUUUGUGUCCGCCAAACCCAAAGCUGAACUAUAUACACAGCCUAAAAAUCAAGUUGCCUUAAUCUUGCAUUUUUGGCUCAUUUUUUCUAGCCACAUCCUAAAACAAAAUGGGUUGAAUUACUAGAUGAAAAAUAAAUUCCAUCCAUGGGAACUGUUGCUAUUGUCACACAAAACAAAGGGAAGGUGUUUUUCUGCCAUGCCGUGGAAGAGGUGAAGUCACUGUUUUAGAAUAAAAUGAUCAGACUUAAAUUUCUACCACAUGCAGUAAACAGAAUUGGUUACUUAAUUAGACUGCCUACUAAAAGGUCUCUUAUUAUUUUAAAUUGUGCUUUAACAUAAUAAUUCCAGUAAAACAUUUCUGGAAAAAAAUUUGAAAAUGUGUAUUUGGUCUUUAAAAUGUGUAUAAUUUUUCCCAGUAGUUCCAAUUAUGGGAAUAAUUAUGAAAGUGCCCAAAGAAUUAUCUGCAUAGAUAUUUAAUGCUGCAUUACUUUUAACAAUGAGGGGAGUGGAAACUGUUUAGGUGUCCAACUUAGGUAAUUGGUUAAAUAAAUUACUGCGUAGUAGAAAUGUUCUUUAAAACCUAAAUAGCCCUCUGGAUUUAGCACAGCUCUCCAUUCUUUACGUACUGCUGUCUAAUAUCCCAGCAUCUGAGUGUUCCCAGCCUGGGGCUUUCUUUAGUUAACCCACACGCUUAUACCCCCACUACUGAGUUGUUUGCUCACCAAGACUCAGUUUUGUUUGUUCCCAAACCUGUUUAUGCUGCUAUAG